UGGGGGAUAUUGCACAAUGGGCGAAAGCCUGAUGCAGCGACGCCACGUGGGGGAUGAAGGCCUUCGGGUUGUAAACUUCUUUUGCUCUGAACAAGGCAUGCUAAUGGGUGUGUUGAGUGUAGGGGUUGAUUAGCGCCGGCUAACUACGUGCCAGCAGCCGCGGUAAUACGUAGGGCGCGAGCGUUGUCCGGAAUUAUUGGGCGUAAAGGGCCUGUAGGUGGCUGGUUGCGUCUGUCGUGAAAGCUCAUGGCUUAACUGUGGGUUUGCGGUGGGUACGGGCUGGCUUGAGUGCAGUCGGGGAGGCUGGAAUUCCUGGUGUAGCGGUGGAAUGCGCAGAUAUCAGGAGGAAUACCGGUGGCGAAGGCGGGUCUCUGGGCUGUUACUGACACUGAGGAGCGAAAGCAUGGGGAGCGAACAGG
rnacentral:rRNA from 1 species